UGGCAACACCCACGGUCAAGGCGAUCGUGCCGGCGAUCCAGAUCCAGACCUGCGCCAGCGCGAUACGCGAAACUUCCAGCGCCGGGUGAAGGCGAUAGAAAAUCCCGAACAGAAACAACGACACCCAGCCCAGCAGGUUGAGGUGAGCGUGCGCGGGCAUGGAGGAAUGGUCCUGCGACAUCGCCAUGACGAUGCCCCAGGACAUGCCGACCAGAACCGCGAUGACAGCGGCGAAAAAACUCAAUGACGAAGCUUUCACGGAAAUCUC
rnacentral:misc_RNA from 1 species